CAGCCGUAUCACGUUGAAACACCCGUUCUCGUUCGAUCACCGAAGUUAAGCAAUGUUGAACCUGGGCGUACCGAGAUGAGUGACCAGGU